rnacentral:lncRNA from 1 species
AAUUAAAAUUGUCUUUAAGAUUUUCUUUUCCCUCUCUUCAGCAGCAGAAAGACUGAGAAACCCUCUCACUGGAGUGGCAGGAGCUGCUGGUUAAAACUGAGUGGAGCCCAGCUACCAGUCCCACAUCGUGACUUAGACGGAUAAUUAGUCAGGUUAUCUGAUAUAAUUACACAACAUUCAAGUGCAGGAGUGCAGGAAGAAGUGAUAAAAUCAAGAACAGCUUUAAUGAGGCCAGAAAAGGAAGAAAAACUGAGUCAACUCAGAGGAACUUCAAGGUCCUUUUGGUGCUAUUCAAGCAAAGAAAUGGGAAUACUGCUAAAACAGAAGAAGCUGGGCGGAGUCAGAAGGUUGAUUUGGAACUAGCAGAGCAUUCAGUGGUUUCAGCAGGGAGCCCUCAAGUUAGAUGGUGUCAGGAACACAUGGAGGAAUUUGGAUCCACUGACAGUGCAUGA